AAUUUAUUAAAUAUCAGGUUGUAUAAUGAAUGUUGAUUUAUUCACCAGAGUAAAAGUGAAUUUAUGUUACUACCCCGAGGUCUGGAUAUGUUCCUAUGCCCCAGGAUAAACCACAGCUACUUCUUUGCCCUAUUCUUUGGGGAUCACCUUAAAAUAUAAUUAAAAAAAGUUACUUAUUUCCAUAUCAGACACAUGGCCAUCAAGUUGUCACAUGGAAUAGCUCUGGACCCAGUAACAAUCUCCUCUGGUCAAUGCUGCCUCCCUUGGCCCUGGGGUUUAGAUUUCAGGGUACAGAUUCUUAAUAGAGGUCUCAUUUAGGCUUUGACCUUGAGUAAGGAGAUUAAUACACAAGAAUCAUCCCAGGGGUGCUGCCUUGCUUAGAAAUAGCAGAUAUAGUUAAUAAUUGACAAAUCAGAGGUUGUCUGAGUUUCAUUCUGUUGCCUCC
rnacentral:lncRNA from 1 species